AUGGAGGUCAUUCCCCUGUCAGUGGCGCUUCCAGUAAUGGGAGCCAUCAUUUUGUGUGUGUGGGCUGUACACAGAGCCAUUACUCCUCCAGAGACUGCAAAGUCCACCCCAGGACUUCCUGUCUACCCAGAAACAACUAAGGAGCUCAUCCUCAGUGUGAGGUAUCUUUUAUGUGGAUUCGCCGCGGGACUUCCAGUCUCCAGCUACAUCAGGGUUGGAGGAUCCCCGGUCUCCAACUCCAACCUCCGAGCCCUGGUCUCCACCUCAGCCCGUAGAUCCAUUGGCUCCACCUUGGCUCUUAGCUCCCUCAUCUCCACCGUGGCCCGUCAUCCCACCAGCUCCGCCAGGCUCCUUCACCCUUCAGCUCUGACGUGGUCAGUCAUCCACUGCCUUCACCUCAGGACUACACUCCUCUGGCUUCACCUCAUCCCUUCAUCCCUCUGGCUCCAUUGGGCUCCUCCCUCCCUCCGGCUCCACCUUGGUCCUCUGUCGCUCCAGAUCCACCGUGGUCUUCUGGAUCCCCGCCUCGGUUGCCAGAGCCAUCGGCUCUGCCCUGGCCCUCUGGAUCCUCAGUGUCAACUUGGUUCUGCGGCUCUCCGUCUCUGUCCUGGGGUCCUGCUCUGCCUCCGUCAGUCAGCCCACUGGUCUUGUCAGCCCUUCCUCCACCAUGGCUCCUCCUUCCAUUGGCUCCACCGUGGGCCGCCAUCCUGGCUGCAGCCUGGGUCUUGCCUGCAUCCUCCUUGGUUCCUCCCUCUGUGUGCUCCACCUUGGACUGUGUUUGUCGUCCUCCUCCAGUUUUUUGCUCCCGAUUGUCGGGCUGUCUGCCCUUCGCUAUCCGUUUCUGCCUAAAAUCUAAUUUUAACAAUUUGAAUGUUUGUCUUCAUAAUUAUAUCCAGACUGAAAAAUGUUUAUUCAUGUCCUAUGUAUGGAUUGCAUUUUAAUGAAAAAAUAUAUGUAUAACAAAACUGUUUGAGAACCACUGAAUGAAUGCAAGUGCAAACCAAGUGCAUUUACUGAACAGAUAACAAUCCUGCAACUAGACUUUCAAAGCCAGGAAAUAUUACCAUACUAAUAAAUGUAAACUGAAUGUGGCAAAUGCAACCUAUUGUUGCAUCUCUCUACAAUAAAUGCCAAUGCAUCCUGUUGGUGUGAGAGUGAUGUAUUAUAUAUUCCACCUUGCCCCUCUCUGGUUUUGCAUACUUUUACAUACAGCUUCAUCACAAAAAUUAGACACUUGCAUAUCUGCAUACAGAUCGAUUUGAUGAGUCCAUUGAGCAACAAAUGUCUCAACUCUAUAAAAUAUGCUAAUAUUAUGCAAAUUAGACAGUUAGGGGCUGUUUUGCUACCACAGACUUAUUGUAAACUAUUAGACGGUCCUCAAAAAACAAGGUAAUGGUCAUCUAGAAGAGGAGAGGAGAGAAAAUAAGGCUAAAGUUGGAGAGUUUCCGAUUCCAAGUGCAAGAACAACCCCUAAGGAAGCCAUUGUAGAUCAGUGAGCUGUGCCACAGAGUCAUCUUAAAUGAAAACAAAGUGAAUUAUCUCAACCUUGGAGUCGCAAUGAUGCCAGACCAUCUCUUGAGCUCUAUUGAUCUAUUGGCUGUCACACACUGGCCUCUGAGGUACUUUCAUUACAGUAAACGCUGCAUCCUAGCUUAUCUACUGCCAUUUUCCCACUCACCAUCAUUUCAUUGUUUUGCCAAGCUUUGGCUGUAACAGAAAACUGAC
ensembl:lncRNA